UACGGAGGGUGCGAGCGUUGUUCGGAAUCACUGGGCGUAAAGCGCGCGUAGGCGGAUUGUUAAGUCAGGGGUGAAAUGCCGAGGCUCAACCUCGGAACUGCCUUUGAUACUGGCAAUCUUGAGUCCGGGAGAGGUGAGUGGAACUCCUAGUGUAGAGGUGAAAUUCGUAGAUAUUAGGAAGAACACCAGUGGCGAAGGCGGCUCACUGGCCCGAUACUGACGCUGAGGCACGAAAGCGUGGGGAGCAAACAGG
rnacentral:rRNA from 1 species